rnacentral:rRNA from 1 species
GAUGAACGCUAGCUACAGGCUUAACACAUGCAAGUCGAGGGGAAACGAUAGAGAAAGCUUGCUUUUUCUAGGCGUCGACCGGCGCACGGGUGAGUAACGCGUAUCCAACCUGCCCAUCACUUGGGGAUAACCUUGCGAAAGUAAGACUAAUACCCAAUGACGUCUCUAGAAGACAUCUGAAAGAGAUUAAAGAUUUAUCGGUGAUGGAUGGGGAUGCGUCUGAUUAGCUUGUUGGCGGGGUAACGGCCCACCAAGGCGACGAUCAGUAGGGGUUCUGAGAGGAAGGUCACCCACAUUGGGACUGAGACACGGUCCAAACUCCUAAGGGAGGCAGGAGUGAGGAAUAUUGGUCAAUGGGCGAGAGCCUGAACCAGCCAAGUAGCGUGCAGGAUGACGGCCCUAUGGGUUGUAAACUGCUUUUAUAAGGGAAUAAAAUGAGUCUCGUGAGACUUUUUGCAUGUACCUUAUGAAUAAGGACCGGCUAAUUCCGUGCCAGCCGCCGCCGUAA